UACGAAGGGGGCUAGCGUUGCUCGGAUUUACUGGGCGUAAAGGGCGCGUAGGCGGACAGUUAAGUUGGGGGUGAAAGCCCGGGGCUCAACCUCGGAAUUGCCUUCAAUACUGGCUGUCUUGAGUGUGAGAGAGGUGUGUGGAACUCCGAGUGUAGAGGUGAAAUUCGUAGAUAUUCGGAAGAACACCAGUGGCGGAGGCGACACACUGGCUCACUACUGACGCUGAGGCGCGAAAGCGUGGGGAGCAAACAGG
rnacentral:rRNA from 1 species